CAUAGCUCAGCACAAUUUGUUUACCUAACCAAAAAAAAAUGGUGGAUUUCCUCAUUUGUGAGAUUACACAAUCCAAAUUUUUAUUUAGACAAUUCGAAUUGUUAAAACAAAGUACAGAAUAAUGCUGGCCCUCGGGAAAGAUGGAAAGUAUUAUCAUUCAGGAAAAAGAAAUUGUUUAGGUUAUUGGAACUCUCAUGGAAAAUAUCAGGGCUUAUAUCAGCAAAUCCUAUAAUCUAUACUGUUAGUCAUGAAAUGGGUGUAUAAACAAAGUGGUGUAAUAUACACUGAUACUUGAGGGAUGUGCAAACACCUAGCCAGAUGCAUAGCAGGAAAAGCGAGUAAUAGGAAGGUGCAUCAUUAGUUCACCUCUGUGUCUUGCAACAACGCCUUCUGCCUUUCUUUUCUCUCAAUAUUUUGGUCUGCGGUAUCAGUAAAAAAAACAUGAAUAUCUUCAUUUAUGUAAAUAGAGACACCAGAGGCUCAGGGAGAAAUGGUUCAUUCAAGUACUUUUCCUGUAAUUGUACUCCAACUUCAACUCAUCACUGCGCUUAAACAUUUCCAAUAGGCAGGAAUCAUUCUGUAUCUGUUUCUAGAAGAUAAAGCAAGGAGUAACUUGUGGUAUCCUAAAAUCCACCAGUGAAAUGUAAAACUUCUUCAGGCAAUUCAUAAUUGAACUCACCUCAUGGAUGCCAGUAGGACUCAUUGAUGAGUAAGCAUGUUUAGAAUUCUAACUUGUCACAUGACUUCCUUGAAUAUUUCUUAGAAUUAAAGAGAAGACACGCCCCCUUUCUUAAGCUCUUGCCACGGCCAAUUCAAGGCUUGUCAUAAGUAUCUCUGAAAGGGCAGUUCUUCACACUUGACAGACUAGUAUGAAAUGUAAGUAUAUUACUGUGCAUUGUUUUUUUCAUAUGCUACUGUACUAGAUUUAGACUUAGUUUGGAUUUCUUUCUAUCUCAGAAAGCAAAGACACACACAAAAGAAAUAGUGACUUUUUCUUAUUCUUUUGCUAGAUCUUAAAAUUAAUUUUCAUUGAUUAAUUUUCAUUAAAUGAAAAUGUCCUAAUGUUAUAUUUAUAUGGAAAACAAUCUAAUUUUCUUUUUUUAAAAAAUGGAAUUUUCGGCCACCUGUUGUUCAGUCAUUCAAGCAUGUCUAGUUUUUUAUGAUAAAAUGACAUUUCAGCAGGAUAGACAGUCAGUAACUGUUACUUUGAGUUUUUGGAAGUGCUUGUUUAUUUCACCAGUUGUAGCAUUGAACCACUUUGUCUUCUGAGCUCUCCUUUUCAAUUGCCUUCAGCUUUCCUAUUAUUAGCAUGUUCUCCAGUGGCUGUUGUCUUCAUUUCAUGUGUCUCAAAGACUUUUGCUUCUUUAUUAAUGAUUCCACUGUAGAUUUUAGCUUUUCUCUAACUUUUCUUAAAUAAUUAAUUCUUGCAGCUCAAGGUACUGUAUUCUUAAAAAUUGCCUCCAGUUUCACAAUUCCAAAGCAUCUUUUUUUUUUCUUCCUUCUGCCUUUCACAACAUUCAGCUUUCAGAGUAAUAAGUUACAGUCAUAACAAUAUGUGGUUUUGUAAUCAAUAUGAUAUCCCUGCAAUCAAUCAAUCAACAUUUUUGUCUAUGCCUUUAGUAAAGAAACAGAUACCUGUUUAUUCCAUGGAUACAGUCACCAUUUAAAUGUUUCAGUACACAGAGAGGGGGAGGGAGGGGGGAGAGGGAGAGAGGGCAACAGGACGCUUUUUUGUACUUUUCUACUUUAACAAGAGAUUCCUUAUGUCUUUCUUACCAUCGAAGUGGUAUCAUCAGAGUAUCUGAGAUUACUAAUACAUUGAAUUACUGAUUUUAAUUCUAAUUUCUAUUUCUUGUAGGUCUGCAUUUGUCAUUACAUAUUCCACAUAUAAGUUAGUAUAUAAACUUGGUAAAUUCUUAAAUAACUCUCUUCUCUUUUCCAUUUAAUCCUUAUACUCAAUUUUUUUGCAUUGCUUGCUUAAAUAUAAAUCCCUGCCACUUCAUUUUCUCUAGAACUCACAUUUUGUUUAGCAAAUUUUCCUACAUAUAUACACACAUAUUUUUUGUUGUGGUCACUGACCACAAUAUAACUAUCAACAGCAGGUAGAACAGAAUACAACUGUGUGUGACUAAUGACUAGUUCAUUGAUAUAAUCAAAGUAGACCUAAUUUUGCAGAGAGAAUAAUGAUAUUUGCCCACUGUGGAAACUCAGUCGCACUCGUCUGAUAUUAAUAACUCUGUGUAGAAUAAAUUGAGGUUGCCAGUUUAUUCUAUACAUUAUUUCAUUUCCAGUUUCUCUAGACACGUUUAUCAGUCUAAUUUACUUCCAUCACAUAGUCAUAAUGAAUAUUGAUCAUAUUUCAUUAUUUUGUUUUCUCUGUUCUAAGUUGUUCUUUUAGGUGUUUGUAAUCCACAUGGUGGUCUUUUUUUGCUGACUGAUGACACUAGAGCUUCCAUUUUUGCUUGUAAUAUAUGUAGAUAAUUUGAUUUUGGGUUUGUCUGUCCAGUGGAGAUCUUGUGUAAUCUCUUAGGUUGAUAUAGGAAAGUAUUUGCUAAAAACACUGCAUCUUUUUUUUGGCAAAACUGUUAUUUGUCCCCUAUUCACUUUCAAAUACCAAGGCCAAAUAUUCCCAUUACUCCAGAAGCUAUUUUACUUCCACCUUUAGCAUUCCAGUGCCCUAUAUUUAUUAUGGCAUCUUUUCUAGAGUAGUGUCAAUAAGAUGUUGCAAGUUAUAAUGGAAUUGUUCAGCUUCCACUUCCUUUGUAUCUGUGGUUAGAACAUAUACUAGAUCACUGUAACAGUGAUUAGUUAGCCUUCAACUUGAAUCGAGAUGAUCUAUCUUUUUGAGACUGUGUCCAAACAUUUGUACAUAUUUACCUGUUUACACAUUUAUAUAACCAGAUAUCUACCCAGGAAAGAUGGCAAUCAGAUUUUUUAAAAAAAUCAUCCAAAUUUUACAAAUAAAAAAAGAAACAUUUGCAUACUUUUUAAAUAAUAAUAAUUAGUUGGUUUUUUCCCCCUAUGAUUUGAUGGGAUCUGCAGAGGGUUCCUUUGAUGGGAAUUCCAAUAUAUUUCAGUUCUUUAAUUCCUAAAAUGUUGAUAUGCAGUCUUGGCAUAUGUUGAUAUGCAAUCUCCUAAUGCCUCUGGGCUCAUCACAUCUAGAUGUCCGUUCAACUUUAAUGAUGUAACUGUAAAAUUAUCAGUGCUACUUGCCCCCUACUUUUCCCUGGUUGAUUGUUCAAUAUCUUCCAACACAGAGGGUGGCUAAUUUUCUAGUUAUCAGGCUGGCAUUGCCUUGGCUAUAAAUGUCUAUUUGGUUUCUUAACACAGUACUGUUAAGUAUUUGAAAUAAUAUUCAAAUAAUAUUUGAAAAAAAAAUCUUGAACAUAAAGAUGCUUGAUUGGAGCAUUGAACUGCUUUUUUGAAAAUAACAUGCUCUGCUUUGAAUAAGCCAGUUUAUUGAGACAAGAUACCUCCUAUCAAAUCAGGUACCAGAGCAGUGCUCCAAGAAGCUCAGCAGUAUCAGGCCAAGUGUCCCUGCAGUUGGAACACCAGCACUCCUCCUUUUCCCCUGCUAUCACUUGCUGUAAAUAAAACAAAAAACAAAACAAACAGGACUUCCUGGGGUGAGUUUUUAAGCAUGAAGACUCCUCCAAAACAGAGGCUGCCCCAUCCACAGUUAGCAGGGAGUACUGAAAGCUACGGGUAGUAAGUUCAGUUAUUUUCCCAAUUUAUGCAAACUACCAUUUGCAGCACUCUUUGGACAAAAAGUCUUGAAGCUCAGAUGAUGUUAUAAAAUGAAUGUCAAUCCCACGGAAGUCAAAUCUGUUCUGAAGAGUUUGCUCUCUAUCUAUAUGCAAGACAGGGAAAGGAAACUGAAUUAUACAAACCCAUCUCUUGUACAGCAGGAAGAAAUCUCAGCUUCCCUAUACAUCCUGAUUAUUAUUGGGUUUUUUGGUUUUCUCCUUUUCUCUAUGAUGCUCAGCAAUAUUGUUCUCAGGCAGAGGGAAAACUACAUGGAUUACCUCUUCCAAAAUAAAUUUCCAAGAAAGAGGAUAACUUCCUGCAACAGCAUAAUGGUACAUGCUGGAAAAGGUGUUACAAUAGAAGCUAACACAGAUUGCCAGUGCCAAAAGACUGACAGUUGCCCAAUGGCAGAAAUUCCAAGCAUGGAAUCAGUGCAGAAAAAUGUAUGAAGGUGCAGUAUCAUGACCUAUUUUUAACUAUGGAUGAUUUUGUUGCCAUCUAAAGUAUUAGAUCUGAUUGCACUAACUUGGGCCAUUCCUGGCAAGCCUCAUUUGGAGCAACCUUUCUAUCUACUGUGCAAGAAAAAAAAUGUUUCUUUCUAAAUUGCAUUAUAGUUUCCCUAUUCUAAACUCCCUUAAGUUUCCACUAAUAGUUUGGUAAUCCAGUUCAAACUUGUAUGAUUUCUUUAUAUUCAUGCUGAUAUACACUUUUGUGAUGUGUCCCACAUGGACUAAGUAAGCUAUCUUCCUUUUCCCCCCUCCUUAAUUGUGUGUUUUGUAAAGACUUUUGUUCUUGUAACUGUGUCAAUUGUGGAGACCUCCUCACAAUCUAAAAGAAAUACAUAAAGAUUGAAAGAGUCAAAUCAAGCAAACAUUGGCUAGAAAUCUAACUUUCCUGCCCUGGUUUAUUAUUGGCCCAUUACCCAUAGAUAGAAAAUUCAAAACAAAGGGAACUUGGAACCCAGAGCUGCAAGUUUUCCCUGAAAAUCAGCAGAAUCUGAAAAUUGUCAAAUUGCCAUGUUUAAUGUGACAAAAUAAGGAACUUUAUUAAAACCCAUGACUAGGGAAUAGGCAGGUUAAUUAUACUGAAGUUUAACUAAAUUUAAAUGGAAACGAACUGAAGUCAAAUUUAGAUUCUAACUUACCAUUCAAAAGCUAAGUGUGAUCUUCGCCAAGGAAAAGUUAUGCAUUCCUGGCAUUAUAUA